GCUGGCGGCGUGCCUAACACAUGCAAGUCGAACGCGAAAGGGGCUUCGGCUCUGAGUAGAGUGGCGAACGGGUGAGUAACACGUGGGUGACCUACCUUCGAAUGGGGGAUAACGUCCCGAAAGGGACGCUAAUACCGCAUAACAUCCUGUCUUUGAACAGAUGGAGAUCAAAGCUGGGGAUCGUAAGACCUGGCGUUUGAAGAGGGGCCCGCGUCCGAUUAGCUAGUUGGUGAGGUAACGGCUCACCAAGGCAACGAUCGGUAGCCGGCCUGAGAGGGCGGACGGCCACACUGGGACUGAGACACGGCCCAGACUCCUACGGGAGGCAGCAGUGGGGAAUUGUUCGCAAUGGGCGCAAGCCUGACGACGCAACGCCGCGUGGAGGAUGAAGGUCUUCGGAUUGUAAACUCCUGUUGCCCGGGACGAAACGCCUCGACCUAACACGUCGAGGUUUGACGGUACCGGGUGAGGAAGCCCCGGCUAACUCUGUGCCAGCAGCCGCGGUAAUACAGAGGGGGCAAGCGUUGUUCGGAAUUACUGGGCGUAAAGGG
rnacentral:rRNA from 1 species